rnacentral:piRNA from 1 species
UAGCUGCAUAUGUUUGGCCAUCAUUGG